CUUGCCUCCGGAAUAACCAGAUGGUGAAAUCAAAUCAAUAACCGUUUAGUUCAGAAGGUGGCAAAUAUCAAGUGUCUAACCCCGAAUACGUUUGAGGGUAUGGAGUGCUCUUCUUUUAGCUCCUUACCUAGAUAUAUUCGGAUAUCC